AAAAAAAAAAAAAAAAAAUCCAGUGCGCCUUGUCUCCUUAUCCUAAGUAUGAAGUGAAAGUGUAUACAGUAAGUUCUAAGAAGAAUAUUAAAAUCAGUUGGUGAUCAUCCUUUCCUCCCACCACCCCAAGUCCAAGAACUUGCAGUAGCGUCAACAAAUAUUACAGCAUCUGGGAACCUUGAACACCGAAUAACAUGACAAAAUUUUAAUGAAAAAUGCUACCUCUAGCCCUCAUAUUUGCAGAGGUUCUCAAAUCCCAUGUAUUCGUUAUGCUGUAUCUUCCUGAUCAUGUUCGAUAUGCCAACACCACCUAGUGAAAUUGCACUAACAAAUAUGGUGAAAGCUAGGAUGAAGAUGAUAAGUGAUGCCCUUCCAAACAUAAUGAUCAACCUUCUCACAAUGUGCUGCCCUAUUAAGGCAGCAAGUGUAGCCACAGCUACAAAGUAAAGAGCAUAAGGAACUGGAAAACGUUUCAGAAGGUAGUAUUCUACAACAGACAUGGAUGAGGAGAAAGUCAUUGCAAAAGUGGCUGUUGCACUUGAUACCUGCAUGGAAGUCAUUAUGCUGUUAAAACGAGAAAAUCACAAUGAGGAAACUUUUGCCUUUUAUUUGGCCAUGUCAAUUGAUUCAUCCUUCAAGUAAGAAACAAGGUAAAUCCCCACAAGUUUUCAGCAGCUUUUCUAAUGUUGUCCAUGUAAUCAUGUUGAUCACAUUCACAUAACUUUUAUCAGACUUCCCAAAUUUGUCUAGGGUACUCAACCUCGUGCAGUUGCUUAUAUCAGAACUGGCUCACCUGAGGAGGGAUUCCCAACUCCAAAAAUAGUGGACCCAUAAUGAAUCCUCCACCUAGUCCAAGCAGCCCACCAACUACUCCAGCCAGUACACCACAGGCACUGUAAAGUACAAGCUGAUGAACUUUGAAAUUUGUGCCUUCAUCUCCCUUGGAUGCUAUGAUUCUCCGUCCUUUGUAAAGGCUUACUGCCUCGUAUAGUGUCACCGCAACAGAAACUGGAAUCUGCACAACAUGGAAUGGACACACCAAACCAGAUUUCAGAGAAUGCUUUGGGUUUGAAAAAUAAGAUUUUAAUGCAUUGUUUCUCAGAUCCUAAAUCUCAAUCAUGCAAGACCACCCCUAGUUGGCUAGCUUUCUCUAUCUCUCACACAGCAGAACAUGGUAUGCGCAUACAAGCAGAAACUCAAACGUGCGUGAACACAAUAAACAGAGAUUAUUAUUUCUUGUAUCAAUUGAACGUACCUGUAACAAGUUCACUAUCCAGUAUUCUGUUGAACAAGUAGUCAUAUGAUUCUGUUUCACAAAACUCAACAUUUCUUAUCACACAGCCCUUGUUAUAGUAUAUAAAUGGCAUAAAGCAAGUAUUGAAUGACAAAGCAUAGAAUUAAAACCUUUGAAAUCUGCAAUGCAAGGAAUGCAACCCAGACAAAAACAAGAAGCCCAAGUUCCUUCCAGCACACAUUCUCAAGAAUAGUAACCUCUGCUUUGUUAGUGUCCUUUUCAGGGCCACUAGGAAGAGGCUUGUAUUCCACUUCCCCAUCUCCUAUACCAUUUGAUUCUAAACGCUUAGCAUCCUCCUGUUUCAUUAUUGUUUCCUUUUUCCACGUCUCAACACCCUUGAAGAAUGCCUUUGUUGAUGUGCCUAUAAAGAGAGUAAUAAGCAGUACUGUGACCAUCCAAUCUGAAAAUACCACGUUGAAAGCAACACCUAUACUAAUUCCUAGCAUGAGCAUUGGCUGGAUGAGUAGAGUCAAAUCAUAGUCAAUGAUGGGCAUAUCAAUUGUAGGAUGCCUUAGCUUAAGGUUAUAGUAAACAGUUGAUGCUGCUGCACCCAUAAUCAUACAUUUAGAGAUUGCAGUUGCGGAUUUGGGAUCAAACCCAAUAAUUAGGCUUAGCAUGGGAACAAAAAUGCCACCCCCACCAACGCCCCCUACACUCCCAAAUGCUGCCCCAAAGAAUCCAACAAUAGUACCCAAAACAAUUUGCCAACCAAAUUUCAUU
rnacentral:misc_RNA from 1 species